rnacentral:rRNA from 1 species
AAUGAACGCUGGCGGCAGGCCUAACACAUGCAAGUCGAGCGGAUGAAGGGAGCUUUCUCCUGGAUUCAGCGGCGGACAGGUGAGUAAUGCCUAGGAAUCUGCCUUGUAUUGGGGGAUAACGUCCGGAAACGGGCGCGAAUACCGCAUACGACCAGAUGGAGAAAGUGGGGGAUCUUCGGACCUCACGCUAUUUGAUGAGCCUAGUUCGGAUUAGCUAGUUGGUGGGGUAAAGGGCUACCAAGGCGACGAUCCGUAACUGGUCUGAGAGGAUGAUCAGUCACACUGGAACUGAGACACGGUCCAGACUCCUACGGGAGGCAGCAGUGGGGAAUCUUGGGCAAUGGGCGAAAGCCUGAUCCAGCCAUGCCGCGUGUGUGAAGAAGGUCUUCGGAUUGUAAAGCACUUUAAGUUGGGAGGAAGGGCAGUAAGUUAAUACCUUGCUGUUUUGACGGUACCGACAGAAUAAGCACCGGCUAACUUCGUG